rnacentral:lncRNA from 1 species
GCGUUGAAGAUAAGGUUGUUAGUGAAUUUGCGCUCUCCGUUUGGUUCAAAGUUUUAAGACCCUUUUAGGGGGAAAAAUGAAAAAGCCUCCUGUUACAUUGUUCUAUUGUAUCUGUGUAAUUGAUACGAAAAAUUACAAAAUUAGGCUUGACCUCAAGUCAAAUCCUAGAAUAAAACAAGUAGGUCGACCACUGCGUUGAAAAAAGCUUGAUGGUUUUAGCAUAAUAACGAUUUAAAUUUUUUUUUCCCCGAGACGUACUUGCCGCACUCUCUUCCCGUCAUCAAAAGUUAUUAUCAGAUUUAAUUCACUCUAACUAUGGACGGGACAUAGCACAAAUAAGCGAGUUAAGGGUUGAGCAUUAAGAUAUGAAUUUGGUAUUUAUUCCCACAGAUCUAGACAGGUCGAUAAGCCAUAAAAUCUCUCGUUAUGAUCGACAUCUACCAAUCACAGUGCAUGCAUGCUGGGUGAAUAACAAGCGAGGGAAAUUCAAGAAUUCAGUCUGCUGGAAGAGCGUGCACGAGCAACAUUACUUCGCUUAGAUCAACACUGAUAGGUCUUCAUAAAGCGAGAUAUCACCUCAUCAGCUUGGAAGUAACGAUGUCUCGCAGAGCGUCCCAGGUUCUUUUACUUGUGUUGCUGUGUGCCUUGGUUACAGAUGAAGUGCAUGGUAUUUAUUCGUUCAAACGUGCGCCCAAUCAGUUCAGAAAGAGAGUAGCUCAAAUGAUCUACGCAUGGUGUGACGCUAUUUGUGAUAACGCAAUUUGCCGAGUGGUGGAGAGUUCCGGCAAAUAUGAUCAUGUCUAUAGUGAUUGUGAAUGCGGCUUGGACUGUUAUUGCCUGUACAGUGAAACACGUUAUAACAGCUACAUCUACAGAUGCAUGCCAGCAUGAGCAGUUUGAACUUGUGUUUGGAACUGACUGUCAAAUGUAUUUCUAAUUUGUGUUUGGUUUGGCCAUUUUGCAUCUGAGUUUUAUAAUGUUGGUUAAAAACCACAUGCUACUCGCCUCUACCAAUGAGAGCAAAUUUACCACGAGGGGCACACGUGAUAUGUUCAAUAUCGAGUUCUGAUUGGUUCAUUUGGGUAUAACGUGUGCAUGGUGUGGUGAUUGGCAUUACAUUGGUUUUGUUUUCAGCUUUAGUACAGUCAUUUAAGAAAAUUGUCCUAAUAAGCCAUUUCCGAGUUGCUUUUUGCCUCUAUUUCAAAACGAGGGCGGUGCACAACCUUUCAUACGGAAAUGAAUUUGUUUUGCAAGACAAAGAACGUGCAAGAGAAACUCAUUUCAAAAUGAAAGGUUGUGCAACAAGACUCGUUUUGAAACCGAGGUAAAAAGCAACUCGAAAAUGGCUCAUUAAAUCGGAUGUUUCUUCUUGAACACCAUUAGAACAUUUCUUCACGAAGAUUUUCAUUUUUAAUGACAUUGUUGAAUGACACUAUAGUAGAGUUACCUUUACGUUAAUUCCCCGAAAAGAAAUAAAUUAGCUGCUGUGUUUCUCUGACAUAACUGAGCUUCGCAGAGAAACGGUAUUUAACAGUUCAUAAAGCUGUACAUACUGUGAAUAUUUUGGCUCUAUUUUAGCGCCAGGAAGGGGUUUAUUUAGCAACACAAUUUAUCGACGAAACACUGUUAUACUAGCAUACGUGCUGGAAUUUUAUGUGUUAUGUAGUUAGAAAUAAAAACACUGAAUGGCGAGAUGUGUGGUUAUAUUGCUAACUCAGUUGGUAGACUGGAUAUACAGUAUGUUGGAGGAAGAGGGCGAGGGGGGGAGGGGGAAUUACAGAUACCGAAUAUCCCUUUCGUUUAUCCCUGAGCUUUCCACUUUCGGUAGUACUACUGCUUCCCCUCACAAGAACAAGAG